rnacentral:rRNA from 1 species
AGAGUUUGAUCCUGGCUCAGGAUGAACGCUGGCGGCGUGCUUAACACAUGCAAGUCGAACGGAGCGCCGGACACGGACUAUUUCGGUAGGAAGAGUGCGGAGGCUUAGUGGCGGACGGGUGAGUAACGCGUGGAUAACCUGCCGCAUACCGGGGGAUAACAGCUGGAAACAGCUGCUAAUACCGCAUAUGCCCGCAGUGCCGCAUGGCACAGCGGGGAAAACUCCGGUGGUAUGCGAUGGGUCCGCGUCUGAUUAGGCAGUUGGCGGGGUAACGGCCCACCAAACCGACGAUCAGUAGCCGGCCUGAGAGGGCGGACGGCCACACUGGGACUGAGACACGGCCCAGACUCCUGCGGGAGGCAGCAGUGGGGAAUAUUGCACAAUGGGGGAAACCCUGAUGCAGCGACGCCGCGUGAAGGAAGAAGUAUCUCGGUAUGUAAACUUCUAUCAGCAGGGAAGAAAACAGACGGUACCUGACUAAGAAGCCCCGGCUAACUACGUGCCAGCAGCCGCGGUAAUACGUAGGGGGCAAGCGUUAUCCGGAUUUACUGGGUGUAAAGGGGGCGCAGACGGCCAUGGCAAGCCCGGUGUGAAAGGCAGGGGCAUAACCCCUGGACUGCACUGGGAACUGUCAGGCUGGAGUGCUGGAGGGGUAAGCGGAAUUCCUGGUGUAGCGGUGAAAUGCGUAGAUAUCAGGAGGAACACCGGCGGCGAAGGCGGCUUACUGGACGGCAACUGACGUUGAGGCCCGAAAGCGUGGGGAGCGAACAGGAUUAGAUACCCUGGUAGUCCACGCCGUAAA